CAGCUUGUUGGUGGGGUAAUGGCCUACCAAGGCGACGACGGGUAGCCGGCCUGAGAGGGUGGACGGCCACACUGGGACUGAGACACGGCCCAGACUCCUACGGGAGGCAGCAGUGGGGAAUAUUGCACAAUGGGCGCAAGCCUGAUGCAGCGACGCCGCGUGAGGGAUGAAGGCCUUCGGGUUGUAAACCUCUUUCAGUAGGGAAGAAGCGAAAGUGACGGUACCUGCAGAAGAAGCGCCGGCUAACUACGUGCCAGCAGCCGCGGUAAUACGUAGGGCGCAAGCGUUAUCCGGAAUUAUUGGGCGUAAAGAGCUCGUAGGCGGUUUGUCGCGUCUGCCGUGAAAGUCCGGGGCUUAACCCCGGAUCUGCGGUGGGUACGGGCAGACUUGAGUGAUGUAGGGGAGACUGGAAUUCCUGGUGUAGCGGUGAAAUGCGCAGAUAUCAGGAGGAACACCGAUGGCGAAGGCAGGUCUCUGGGCAUUAACUGACGCUGAGGAGCGAAAGCAUGGGGAGCGAACAGGAUUAGAUACCCUGGUAGUCCAUGCCGUAAACGUUGGGCACUAGGUGUGGGGGACAUUCCACGUUUUCCGCGCCGUAGCUAACGCAUUAAGUGCCCCGCCUGGGGAGUACGGCCGCAAGGCUAAAACUCAAAGGAAUUGACGGGGGCCCGCACAAGCGGCGGAGCAUGCGGAUUAAUUCGAUGCAACGCGAAGAACCUUACCAAGGCUUGACAUGAACCGGAACGGCGCAGAGAUGUGUCGGCCACUUGUGGCCGGUUUACAGGUGGUGCAUGGUUGUCGUCAGCUCGUGUCGUGAGAUGUUGGGUUAAGUCCCGCAACGAGCGCAACCCUCGUUCCAUGUUGCCAGCGGGUUAUGCCGGGGACUCAUGGGAGACUGCCGGGGUCAACUCGGAGGAAGGUGGGGACGACGUCAAAUCAUCAUGCCCCUUAUGUCUUGGGCUUCACGCAUGCUACAAUGGCCGGUACAAAGGGUUGCGAUGCUGUGAGGUGGAGCUAAUCCCAAAAAGCCGGUCUCAGUUCGGAUUGAGGUCUGCAACUCGACCUCAUGAAGUCGGAGUCGCUAGUAAUCGCAGAUCAGCAACGCUGCGGUGAAUACGUUCCCGGGCCUUGUACACACCGCCCGUCAAGUCACGAAAGUUGGUAACACCCGAAGCCGGUGGCCUAACCCGUAAGGGGGGAGCCGUCGAAGG
rnacentral:rRNA from 1 species